AGGAUGGACUCUGAGAUGCCUCUGGCCAUUCUUUCCCUCAUGUGUACAAUACAAUCCUUCCCCUUAACCAUACCGUGGAGCAGUCCUGCUGCCAGUUUAUACGGUGUGUGAUAGAGCUGAGUCUUCCUACAUCUGAAGAUGUUAUCUCCAUCUGUUGAAUUGAACCUGAGGAGAUGCAAGGUCCCAGACAGCCAAAGUGAUGGUGUGGUGGCAUUGUUCAAUACAGGUUUACGGAUUAUCUAAAAGUUGAUAAUUGUCUCUGAAUAAUUGGUAUGAACUAGAUCCAUCCAGUCACUCAUUGACCAAGAACCAUCUGCUCACCUUGGAAGAAGGAACUAAGCAAAUGGCCUGAAAUGAAAGCUACACAGCCCUAAGCAUGAGGCUUGGGCCCUGAACUCUGUAGGUCUACUGGCUCACUCAUGGGUAGUCUGUUAUCUGUACUUGAAAAAUUUUCUAAACAAAAUAGAGGUUUUGCAUAUUUAUCUUUUAAACAUUCAGUGACUUGUCUUCUCAAGGUACACUCUAAUUCUGUACUUUUAUAAGUAACCGUAAGUUUAGGGAUAAUUUCUGAAUUUUUCAUUUUCCCCUAGGUGCACAGCAACUUUUUAAGAAUCCUGGUAAAUGUUAUUAAAUACACUUUAAGAAGUAUCUAUCAAUUGCCUAAUCAGCUAAUCAAUCUAAUCAAUUGCUUAAUCAACAAGAUAAAAGCCAAAUAGGAUCACUUAUUUUAAAUUAUUUUAAAAACUUGAGUUGGCAUUGUAUGCUUGCUAUAAUUUGAUUUUCUUUUGAUUUAGUUUAACUUGAAUUUCUUUGGUUUGGUAAGACUGUGUACUUGUUUAUAUAACCUUGUUUAUACAUCACAACGUUUGCUCAACUUUCUAUGGGGUCUAGCCAUUUAAUUCCUGAUUUGGAAAAUCUCUUUUACAUUAUAUUAUAGGGCAUCAAUGAAGAUCUAUCUCUGUGAACUAACCUGUUUCUCACUAUCAUUAAAGGUCUAUUUCUGCGACUUAUUACUUCUUAGAUGUAGUGAACUCUUGUUUAUAAAAGAACAAAAUGGGGAAGUCUGAGAUUUACAGUGGCCUAUCUGAUUUUCAAGGCUGUCUGUCAAAGUUCUAGUCUUUCAACCUCCAGUUGGUUUUUGUAAGAUGGGAUUUGAAUUUUUGUCUUUGGACAGUUUGAGGCUGGACUAGAACACCUUUCACAAGCCAACUCACCCUAAAAGCCUACAUUACAUUGUUAGUUAAGUAACAUUAUGCCACAUGUGAAAUUCUUUUCAUAAACAAUAAACAUAAGUUAUCUUC
rnacentral:lncRNA from 1 species